rnacentral:rRNA from 1 species
GGGUUGUGAGGUUAAGCGACCAAGCGUACACGGUGGAUGCCCUGGCAGUCAGAGGCGAUGAAGGGCGUGCUAAUCUGCGAUAAGCGCCGGUAAGGUGAUAUGAACCGUUAUAACCGGCGAUACCCGAAUGGGGAAACCCAGUGUGAUUCGUCACACUAUCAUUAACUGAAUCCAUAGGUUAAUGAGGCAAACCGGGGGAACUGAAACAUCUAAGUACCCCGAGGAAAAGAAAUCAACCGAGAUUCCCCCAGUAGCGGCGAGCGAACGGGGAGGAGCCCAGAGCCUGAAUCAGCAUGUGUGUUAGUGGAAGCGUCUGGAAAGGCGCGCGAUACAGGGUGACAGCCCCGUACACAAAAGCGCAUGUGCUGUGAGCUCGAUGAGUAGGGCGGGACACGUGGUAUCCUGUCUGAAUAUGGGGGGACCAUCCUCCAAGGCUAAAUACUCCUGACUGACCGAUAGUGAACCAGUACCGUGAGGGAAAGGCGAAAAGAACCCCGGCGAGGGGAGUGAAAAAGAACCUGAAACCGUGUACGUACAAGCAGUGGGAGCACAGGUUUACCUGUGUGACUGCGUACCUUUUGUAUAAUGGGUCAGCGACUUAUAUUCUGUAGCAAGGUUAACCGAAUAGGGGAGCCGGAGGGAAACCGAGUCUUAAUUGGGCGUUAAGUUGCAGGGUAUAGACCCGAAACCCGGUGAUCUAGCCAUGGGCAGGUUGAAGGUUGGGUAACACUAACUGGAGGACCGAACCGACUAAUGUUGAAAAAUUAGCGGAUGACCUGUGGCUGGGGGUGAAAGGCCAAUCAAACCGGGAGAUAGCUGGUUCUCCCCGAAAGCUAUUUAGGUAGCGCCUCGUGAAUUCAUCUCCGGGGGUAGAGCACUGUUUCGGCCAGGGGGCCAUCCCGGCUUACCAACCCGAUGCAAACUGCGAAUACCGGAGAAUGUUAUCACGGGAGACACACGGCGGGUGCUAACGUCCGUCGUGAAGAGGGAAACAACCCAGACCGCCAGCUAAGGUCCCAAAGUCAUGGUUAAGUGGGAAACGAUGUGGGAAGGCUCAGACAGCCAGGAUGUUGGCUUAGAAGCAGCCAUCAUUUAAAGAAAGCGUAAUAGCUCACUGGUCGAGUCGGCCUGCGCGGAAGAUGUAACGGGGCUAAACCAUGCACCGAAGCUGCGGCAGCGAACGUAUCACCCAAGACAACUUUGCACAGUUGACGAUUGACGGAGCGAAGCGACGUCAAAGCGUUUUACAACGUCGAGUUGGCUUAGGGAUACGUUCGUUGGGUAGGGGAGCGUUCUGUAAGCCUGUGAAGGUGGCCUGUGAGGGUUGCUGGAGGUAUCAGAAGUGCGAAUGCUGACAUAAGUAACGAUAAAGCGGGUGAAAAGCCCGCUCGCCGGAAGACCAAGGGUUCCUGUCCAACGUUAAUCGGGGCAGGGUGAGUCGACCCCUAAGGCGAGGCCGAAAGGCGUAGUCGAUGGGAAACGGGUUAAUAUUCCCGUACUUGGUGUUACUGCGAAGGGGGGACGGAGAAGGCUAUGUUGGCCGGGCGACGGUUGUCCCGGUUUAAGCGUGUAGGCUGGUUUUCCAGGCAAAUCCGGAAAAUCAAGGCUGAGGCGUGACGACGAGGCACUACGGUGCUGAAGCAACAAAUGCCCUGCUUCCAGGAAAAGCCUCUAAGCAUCAGGUAACAUCAAAUCGUACCCCAAACCGACACAGGUGGUCAGGUAGAGAAUACCAAGGCGCUUGAGAGAACUCGGGUGAAGGAACUAGGCAAAAUGGUGCCGUAACUUCGGGAGAAGGCACGCUGACACGUAGGUGAAGUGAUUUACUCAUGGAGCUGAAGUCAGUCGAAGAUACCAGCUGGCUGCAACUGUUUAUUAAAAACACAGCACUGUGCAAACACGAAAGUGGACGUAUACGGUGUGACGCCUGCCCGGUGCCGGAAGGUUAAUUGAUGGGGUCAGCGCAAGCGAAGCUCCUGAUCGAAGCCCCGGUAAACGGCGGCCGUAACUAUAACGGUCCUAAGGUAGCGAAAUUCCUUGUCGGGUAAGUUCCGACCUGCACGAAUGGCGUAAUGAUGGCCAGGCUGUCUCCACCCGAGACUCAGUGAAAUUGAACUCGCUGUGAAGAUGCAGUGUACCCGCGGCAAGACGGAAAGACCCCGUGAACCUUUACUAUAGCUUGACACUGAACAUUGAGCCUUGAUGUGUAGGAUAGGUGGGAGGCUUUGAAGCGUGGACGCCAGUCUGCGUGGAGCCGGCCUUGAAAUACCACCCUUUAAUGUUUGAUGUUCUAACGUGGACCCGUAAUCCGGGUUGCGGACAGUGUCUGGUGGGUAGUUUGACUGGGGCGGUCUCCUCCUAAAGAGUAACGGAGGAGCACGAAGGUUGGCUAAUCCUGGUCGGACAUCAGGAGGUUAGUGCAAUGGCAUAAGCCAGCUUGACUGCGAGCGUGACGGCGCGAGCAGGUGCGAAAGCAGGUCAUAGUGAUCCGGUGGUUCUGAAUGGAAGGGCCAUCGCUCAACGGAUAAAAGGUACUCCGGGGAUAACAGGCUGAUACCGCCCAAGAGUUCAUAUCGACGGCGGUGUUUGGCACCUCGAUGUCGGCUCAUCACAUCCUGGGGCUGAAGUAGGUCCCAAGGGUAUGGCUGUUCGCCAUUUAAAGUGGUACGCGAGCUGGGUUUAGAACGUCGUGAGACAGUUCGGUCCCUAUCUGCCGUGGGCGCUGGAGAACUGAGGGGGGCUGCUCCUAGUACGAGAGGACCGGAGUGGACGCAUCACUGGUGUUCGGGUUGUCAUGCCAAUGGCACUGCCCGGUAGCUAAAUGCGGAAGAGAUAAGUGCUGAAAGCAUCUAAGCACGAAACUUGCCCCGAGAUGAGUUCUCCCUGAGACUUAAAGUCUCCUGAAGGAACGUUGAAGACGACGACGUUGAUAGGCCGGGUGUGUAAGCGCAGCGAUGCGUUGAGCUAACCGGUACUAAUGAACCGUGAGGCUUAACCUUACAACGCCGAAG